rnacentral:lncRNA from 1 species
ACCGGCCGCCGGCCGCCACGCACAGUAAACGCCGCGGCGCGGCGCGGCGAGUUUCUCUAGGAUCUCACAGUUGCAAAGAGGCCCCCGGGCUUCUCUGCCUUCCAGGAUAUUGCGUUGUCGGCAGUGCCGUGGUGUGGGAAGACGACUGAGGGUAGCUUUAUCAACUUGAACACAAAAGCACAUGAUCUAAGUGGGAUAGCAGAGGUGAUACAGAAGAAGAAAUACACAUCUAGAGACCAGUCUUACUUUGUAACCACAGACAACCCAUGAAGAGUAAGUGCACUCAGCCAUAU